rnacentral:rRNA from 1 species
UACGUAGGGUGCAAGCGUUAAUCGGAAUUACUGGGCGUAAAGCGUGCGCAGGCGGUUUUGUAAGUCUGUCGUGAAAUCCCCGGGCUCAACCUGGGAAUUGCGAUGGAGACUGCAAGGCUAGAAUCUGGCAGAGGGGGGUAGAAUUCCACGUGUAGCAGUGAAAUGCGUAGAGAUGUGGAGGAACACCGAUGGCGAAGGCAGCCCCGGGUCAAGGAUUGACGC